GGAAGGAUCAUUACUGAAUUGUCAACACGAGUUGUUGCUGGUCCUCGAAUGGGGGCAUGUGCACGCUCUGUUCACACAUCCACUCACACCUGUGCACCCUCUGUAGUUCUAUGGUCUGGGGGGGCUCCGCCCUCUUGCCGUGGUUCUAUGUAUUUACACACGCACAGUAAUAAGGUUUCAUGGAAUGCAUGACGCGUUUAACGCAAUACAAUACAACUUUCAGCAACGGAUCUCUUGGCUCUCGCAUCGAUGAAGAACGCAGCGAAAUGCGAUAAGUAAUGUGAAUUGCAGAAUUCAGUGAAUCAUCGAAUCUUUGAACGCACCUUGCGCCCUUUGGCUAUUCCAGAGGGCAUGCCUGUUUGAGUAUCAUGAACACCUCAACUCUCGCGGUUCGCCGUGAUGAGCUUGGACUUUGGGGGUCUUGCUGGCCUGCGGUCGGCUCCUCUCAAACGAAUCAGCUUGCCAGUGUUUGGUGGCAUCACGGGUGUGAUAACUAUCUACGCUUGUGGUUUUCCACCAGGUAUAACCUUCAGCAAUGGAGGUUCGCUGGGGCUCACAAACGUCUCUCCUCGGUGAGGACAGCUUCUUGAACGUUUGAUCUCAAAUCAGGUAGGGCUACCCGCUGAACUUAAGCAUAUCAAUAAGCGGAGGAAAAGAAACUAACAAGGAUUCCCCUAGUAACUGCGAGUGAAGCGGGAAGAGCUCAAAUUUAAAAUCUGGCGUGCCUCCGGCCGUCCGAGUUGUAGUCUGGAGAAGCGUUUUCCGUGUCGGACCGUGUAUAAGUCUCUUGGAACAGGGCGUCAUAGAGGGUGAGAAUCCCGUCUUUGACACGGACUGCCGAUGCUUUGUGAUGCGCUCUCAAAGAGUCGAGUUGUUUGGGAAUGCAGCUCAAAAUGGGUGGUAAAUUCCAUCUAAAGCUAAAUAUAGGCG
rnacentral:rRNA from 1 species